UGGGGAAUAUUGGACAAUGGGCGCAAGCCUGAUCCAGCAAUGCCGCGUGGGUGAAGAAGGCCUGCGGGUUGUAAAGCCCUUUAGGCGGGGAGGAACGGCGGCGCGCGAACACCGUGUCGUUCUGACGUUACCCGCGAAAUAAGCACCGGCUAACUCCGUGCCAGCAGCCGCGGUAAUACGGAGGGUGCGAGCGUUAAUCGGAAUUACUGGGCGUAAAGCGUGCGUAGGCGGUGGGGUCAGUCAGCCGUGAAAGCCCUGGGCUUAACCUGGGAACGGCGGUUGAGACGGCCCGACUAGAGUGGGCUAGAGGAUCGUGGAAUUCCGGGUGUAGCGGUGAAAUGCGUAGAGAUCCGGAGGAACACCGAUGGCGAAGGCAGCGGUCUGGGGCCACACUGACGCUGAGGCACGAAAGCGUGGGGAGCAAACAGG
rnacentral:rRNA from 1 species